rnacentral:rRNA from 1 species
UACGGAGGGUGCAAGCGUUCUCCGGAUUUACUGGGUUUAAAGGGUGUGUAGGCGGGCUUUUAAGUCAGUGGUGAAAUCUCCGGGCUCAACCCGGAAACUGCCAUUGAUACUAUUAGUCUUGAAUUUUGUUGAGGUAGGCGGAAUAAGUCAUGUAGCGGUGAAAUGCAUAGAUAUGACUUAGAACACCAAUUGCGAAGGCAGCUUGCUAAACAAAUAUUGACGCUGAGGCACGAAAGCGUGGGGAUCAAACAGG